AUUAAAAGGAAAUGGAAAAAUAAACAUGUUUUGGAACCACCGUAACUCAUUUCUCUUUGUCUUCAGAGCCCAGAGUGAGACACUGAAGACCAGCACUGAGGCCAUCACAGAUCCAAACACAGACCCCAAUACUGUCUCGUACCCUGGAACACCUAUCAACCAGGACAUAGUGAAGGAGAAGAAAAAGAAGAGGGCUAUUAUACUGACCAAAGAUGAGAAGACCAUGGCCGCCUUAGAGAAAACCUGCCAGGCCUUUAGGUCCAACCAGACGGAGUAUGAGCGGUUUAUGGAUCACACGACUCUCUGGCUCCAGGAGCACCAGGAACAGGCAGUGGAGCUGUUCAGCCUGUGUGAUACAGACAGCCCUGGUACCAUCCCUCUUCUGGGUAAUCCAUCCCUCUUCUGGUCUGUUACACGCUCAUUCCCAGCCAAAUGACCCAAUAUGAGCUGGAAAAUCUAUCAAAGCUUUAAUCUGGGGCUCAUGGCUGCAAUUAAGGUAUGUCAAAGGAUUACCUCAUAAUGAGUCCAAAUACUAUUUUCAUUGCUAGUAGUUCACUCCAGCAU
rnacentral:lncRNA from 13 species